GCUUGUCUCAAAGAUUAAGCCAUGCAUGUCUAAGUAUAAACAAAUCUAUACUGUGAAACUGCGAAUGGCUCAUUAUAUCAGUUAUAGUUUAUUUGAUGGUUCUUGCUACUUGGAUAACCGUAGUAAUUCUAGAGCUAAUACAUGCAUCAAACCCCGACUUUUUGGAAGGGGUGUAUUUAUUAGAUGGAAACCAAUGCGGGGCAACCCGGAUUCUGGUGAUUCAUAAUAAUUAUCGGAUCGAUCGUAUGAUCGAUGCAUCAUUCAAGUUUCUGCCCUAUCAGCUUUGGAUGGUAGGGUAUUGGCCUACCAUGGCAUUAACGGGUAACGGAGAAUUAGGGUUCGAUUCCGGAGAGGGAGCCUGAGAAAUGGCUACCACAUCCAAGGAAGGCAGCA
rnacentral:rRNA from 1 species